UACAGAGGGUGCAAGCGUUAAUCGGAUUUACUGGGCGUAAAGCGUGCGUAGGCGGCUCGCUAAGUCGGUUGUGAAAGCCCGAGGCUCAACCUCGGAGGGUCGGUGGAUACUGGCAGUCUUGAAGGUGGUAGGGGGAGAUGGAAUUACCGGUGUAGCGGUGAAAUGCGUAGAGAUCGGUAGGAACACCAGUGGCGAAGGCGGUCUCCUGGCCCACUCUUGACGCUGAGGCGCGAAAGCUGGGGGAGCGAACGGG
rnacentral:rRNA from 1 species